GGCCGCAGCUCAGCGGCAGAGCAUAUGCUUUGCAUGCAGAAGGUCCCUGGUUCAAGCCCUGGCAGUGUCCC